rnacentral:misc_RNA from 1 species
CCCUUAACUACAGCAUAUG